rnacentral:rRNA from 2 species
AGAGUUUGAUCAUGGCUCAGAUUGAACGCUGGCGGCAGGCCUAACACAUGCAAGUCGAACGGUAACAGGAAACAGCUUGCUGUUUCGCUGACGAGUGGCGGACGGGUGAGUAAUGUCUGGGAAACUGCCUGAUGGGGGGGGAUAACUACUGGAAACGGUAGCUAAUACCGCAUAACGUCGCAAGACCAAAGAGGGGGACCUUCGGGCCUCUUGCCAUCGGAUGUGCCCAGAUGGGAUUAGCUUGUUGGUGGGGUAACGGCUCACCAAGGCGACGAUCCCUAGCUGGUCUGAGAGGAUGACCAGCCACACUGGAACUGAGACACGGUCCAGACUCCUACGGGAGGCAGCAGUGGGGAAUAUUGCACAAUGGGCGCAAGCCUGAUGCAGCCAUGCCGCGUGUAUGAAGAAGGCCUUCGGGUUGUAAAGUACUUUCAGCGGGGAGGAAGGGAGUAAAGUUAAUACCUUUACUCAUUGACGUUACCCGCAGAAGAAGCACCGGCUAACUCCGUGCCAGCAGCCGCGGUAAUACGGAGGGUGCAAGCGUUAAUCGGAAUUACUGGGCGUAAAGCGCACGCAGGCGGUUUGUUAAGUCAGAUGUGAAAUCCCCGGGCUCAACCUGGGAACUGCAUCUGAUACUGGCAAGCUUGAGUCUCGUAGAGGGGGGUAGAAUUCCAGGUGUAGCGGUGAAAUGCGUAGAGAUCUGGAGGAAUACCGGUGGCGAAGGCGGCCCCCUGGACGAAGACUGACGCUCAGGUGCGAAAGCGUGGGGAGCAAACAGGAUUAGAUACCCUGGUAGUCCACGCCGUAAACGAUGUCGACUUGGAGGUUGUGCCCUUGAGGCGUGGCUUCCGGAGCUAACGCGUUAAGUCGACCGCCUGGGGAGUACGGCCGCAAGGUUAAAACUCAAAUGAAUUGACGGGGGCCCGCACAAGCGGUGGAGCAUGUGGUUUAAUUCGAUGCAACGCGAAGAACCUUACCUGGUCUUGACAUCCACAGAACUUUCCAGAGAUGGAUUGGUGCCUUCGGGAGCUGUGAGACAGGUGCUGCAUGGCUGUCGUCAGCUCGUGUUGUGAAAUGUUGGGUUAAGUCCCGCAACGAGCGCAACCCUUAUCCUUUGUUGCCAGCGGUCCGGCCGGGAACUCAAAGGAGACUGCCAGUGAUAAACUGGAGGAAGGUGGGGAUGACGUCAAGUCAUCAUGGCCCUUACGACCAGGGCUACACACGUGCUACAAUGGCGCAUACAAAGAGAAGCGACCUCGCGAGAGCAAGCGGACCUCAUAAAGUGCGUCGUAGUCCGGAUUGGAGUCUGCAACUCGACUCCAUGAAGUCGGAAUCGCUAGUAAUCGUGGAUCAGAAUGCCACGGUGAAUACGUUCCCGGGCCUUGUACACACCGCCCGUCACACCAUGGGAGUGGGUUGCAAAAGAAGUAGGUAGCUUAACCUUCGGGAGGGCGCUUACCACUUUGUGAUUCAUGACUGGGGUGAAGUCGUAACAAGGUAACCGUAGGGGAACCUGCGGUUGGAUCACCU